GUGGCCGUAGCUCAGUCGGUAGAGCGCUGGAUUGUGGAUCCGGAUGUCGCGGGUUCAAGCCCCGUCGGUCACCCCA
rnacentral:tRNA from 1 species